rnacentral:rRNA from 1 species
CAUAGGGAUGAAGAGCUUCGGCUCUGAAUAUCUAUGGCUAGAUAAAGUACAAGUCGUAACAAGGUUUCAGUUGGAGAACCAGCUGAAGGAUCAUUUAUAAUUUUUAUAUAUAUUUAUAUCGGAAUAUUUAAUAUAUAAAUAAAAUAUUUUUAAACAAAUAUUUAUAAUGAUUAGUUUAUAUUUUUUAAUAUUUAUAAAUAUAAUUUUGAUAAAUUAAUAUAUAGUUAAGAAUGAUAUUUAAAUAAUUAAUAUUAUUUGAAUAUAGUUGUAAUAAUAGUAAAUUUAAUUAAUUAAAUUAAAUAUGUAAAGAUUAAAAAAAUGAAUAAUGGUUGAGGCGAGCGGUAGUAAGGUACGUCAGGGCACCCCA